rnacentral:sRNA from 1 species
GCUGGGCAUGAUGGUGUGUGCCUGCAGUCCUAGCUACUGCAGACACUGAGACAGGAGGAUCACUGGAGCCCAGGAGUUUGGGGUCAGCCUGGGCAACUUAGCAAGACUCUUUCUCUC